AAGGAAAAUUAAUUCCCAAGUUUAUCAAGACAUUUUGCAGGAGAACUUCAGGCCAUCUGUCUACCAGCUGAAGCUCAACAGAAGAUGGGUGUUGCAACAGGACAAUGACCCAAAGCAUAGAAGUAAAUCAACAACAGAAUGGCUUAAACAGAAGAAAAUACGCCUUCUGAAGUGGCCCAGUCAGAGUCCUGACCUCAACCCGAUUG